rnacentral:rRNA from 1 species
UUACCGAGUGCUGGCUUCGGCCGACUCCCGUCCUGUGUCUUAACUGUCUGUUGCUUCGGCGAGGACGCUCGUCGGGGUUUCUUAUGCUUCGAUGGGGACGCUCAUCUGAAGCACAUCUUUUGCUUCGGCGGGGAAACUCGCCAAAGCACCUUUUGAAUCUUGUCAUUUGGCUGUCCGAGUUUGAAAAACAGAAAGCAAAACUUUCAACAACGGAUCUCUUGGUUCCGGCAACGAUGAAGAACGCAGCGAAAUGCGAUAAGUAAUGUGAAUUGCAGAAUUCAGUGAAUCAUCGAAUCUUUGAACGUACAUUGCACUCUCUGGCAUUCCGGAGAGUACAUCUGUUCGAGCGUCAGUUCAACCUUCAAGCACAGCUUGGUGUUGGAGGCUUUGCACCGCAAACCUCCGAAACUUCGUUCCUGUCACGGGGCAGCGAGCUUUACGCACCGCCUCAAUGACUCUCACGUUUGACCUCGAAUCAGAUGAGAAUACCCGCUGAACUUAA